UACGAAGGGGGCUAGCGUUGUUCGGAAUCACUGGGCGUAAAGCGCACGUAGGCGGACUUUUAAGUAGGGGUGAAAUCCCCGGGGCUCAACCCCGGAACUGCCUUUGAUACUGGAAGUCUUGAGUCCGAGAGAGGUGAGUGGAACUCCGAGUGUAGAGGUGAAAUUCGUAGAUAUUCGGAAGAACACCAGUGGCGAAGGCGGCUCACUGGCUCGGUACUGACGCUGAGGUGCGAAAAGCGUGGGGAGCAAACAGGAUUAGAUACCCGCGUAGUCC
rnacentral:rRNA from 1 species